CAAUAGCGUAUAUUAAAGUUGUUGCGGUUAAAAAGCUCGUAGUUGGAUUUCUGCUGAGGACGACCGGUCCGCCCUUCGGGUGAGUAUCUGGUUUGGCCUUGGCAUCUUCUUGGUGAACGUAUCUGCACUUGGCUGUGUGGUGCGGUACCCAGGACUUUUACUUUGAGGAAAUUAGGGUGUUUCAAGCAGGCAUACGCCUUGGAUACAUUAGCAUGGAAUAAUAAGAUAGGACCUCGGUUCUAUUUUGUUGGUUUCUAGAGCUGAGGUAAUGAUUAAUAGGGAUAGUUGGGGGCAUUCGUAUUUAACUGUCAGAGGUGAAAUUCUUGGAUCUGUUAAAGACGGACUACUGCGAAAGCAUUUGCCAAGGAUGUUUUCAUUG
rnacentral:rRNA from 1 species